GUUACGGUUAACAUCUGAGCCGGUGCCGUGAAGAUGACAACGCGACGCACACGGUCGAGGAAGGAGGGAUUUGACGAGAAAGCCCAUAAGAAAUCAAGCACAACGAUUUUCAUGAGUCAAGAUUAACGAGACAGUCCAAAAAUGCCUUACACUUUAAUCAAGUUCGUCAUCAAGAAAGCUCCACCGACUCCAAUUCUGAGAAGUGUUGUCAGAUUUGCGUUUGUAUAAGGUCAAGUCAUUGUGAACGAGUUUGAUAACAAUUUUUUCGUUACC